GUGAGGAAUAUUGGUCAAUGGUCGCAAGACUGAACCAGCCAUGCCGCGUGCAGGAUGAAGCAUCUAUGGUGUGUAAACUGCUUUUGUACGGGAAGAAACACUGCUACGUGUAGCAGCUUGACGGUACCGUAAGAAUAAGGAUCGGCUAACUCCGUGCCAGCAGCCGCGGUAAUACGGAGGAUCCAAGCGUUAUCCGGAAUCAUUGGGUUUAAAGGGUCCGUAGGCGGUUUAAUAAGUCAGUGGUGAAAGCCCAUCGCUCAACGAUGGAACGGCCAUUGAUACUGUUAGACUUGAAUUACAAGGAAGUAACUAGAAUAUGUAGUGUAGCGGUGAAAUGCUUAGAUAUUACAUGGAAUACCAAUUGCGAAGGCAGGUUACUACUUGUGGAUUGACGCUGAUGGACGAAAGCGUGGGGAGCGAACAGGAUUAGAAACCCGUGUAGUCC
rnacentral:rRNA from 1 species